UUCUACAGUCUGAUGAUCAAAUAUUAAUACAUUGCCUUUUUUUACAAAUCGCAUUUAACUGAAAGCCUAAGUGAUCUAUAGGAAUUCUUUUCACCUAUAUAUCUUACUUUAUACUUAUUAAAAGAAUCUGUAUUUUUCAGCUGAAACAACU